GUUGUUUGGAGCAUACUCUCUGGAGCAUUUUUUAAUAUAUUGCUUGAAAUACUCUUCGCACCCCCAUUGCAACCAAUUAAUUAAAAGUUUUGACACAAAAAUGAAAAAAAUUAGUGGUGUCUAGAACGAGAAAUCUAGGAAAAACACUAUCCAAUCAUACUGAGCGGACCGUUGACAACGAUUGGAUUCUGAUUACGUCUAUCAAACUGCACUCUGCUCCUCCCUCCCCCUCCCUCUCCCUCUGCGCGUACCCUUCUUCGUGAACGUGCUGAUUGCGUGUGCUCGCCCUGAAGCUUGCCAGGAAGCUAGAGCCAGCUUGGUUAGCACGUAGCAUUCCUAAACGUAUAGUUAGCAUACAAGAUACGGCAACGACGAUUUGAACAUUAUGGCAGAAAAGGUGCCAACAACGGGCCGAAAAAGAAAGACUGUGUUUUGAGAAGGCUUCUGCCAAAAAAAGGGCAGACGAAGACAGCCAAGACCCGAGUGGCCAUCGGUGCUGCUGCAUUUGUUCGAUGGCGUCAGCUAAAGGAACAGCAAGAGCUGCAAACGGAUGCCAUGGUGGCCCUAUUUCUACUGGAUAGGUAAGAUUACAUUAUGUCUUUAUAAUGUUUGAGAGCACUUGUUAAUGCUUUAGGACAGUAUGUUGUCGUUUCUAACAAGUAUUCAGCCAGUGAGAGGAUAAAACGAUGUAGACGAGCUGCAAUGCCCCUGCAUGUUUGGCUAAGUUAGCUAACACCGAAGUAUGUCAACGUUACUGCUUUCAAUCGCUAAUCAAAGUUAUUUGUAUAUCCGUGAAGAUUUUUCCCCAUGGCAUUUAUUUCAUGCUUCUAAACUAUUUACUAACUUGAUGACUCUUAUUUAUUGUUUUGUUAGUUACGUGAAGGGCACAACAUCUACACCCGUGAAACAAGGUUUCAAGAGACCCCCUCCUCCCCCGUAUCCACAAUUCUGACAGCUCUGACACCUAAAGGACCGUUCAAAGACAGUGGCAUACACCAUUCUUUAGACAUCUAGCAUGGAUCAAAGAACUUGAGCAAAAGACUUGUAGCGGCAGGGCAGCAAAAGGGAUGCUGUGACUUACUGACAUGGAGCAAAGAUGUCUGCAACCAUUUCUGGCAUUGUUGCAAAGCUGCAAGCUGUUAUGAAGAGUUCAUGGACCUGUGGAUGGGACUCCUGCACCACGUCACAGGAGAACAUGAGUGGGCCCUUGGUGCCUGCCACCACGGCCCUUUGGAGGACAGCAGAGAGAAAGACUGGAUACAACAGGGCAGUUUGGCACACCAGAGAUUGUGGGAAAUUGUUCUUGAGGCAAGCUGGCUGAAGAACAUCGUCAAGUAUCUGCGUUUCAGCACAGGCCUCUCCACCCACAGACUAGGCCCCACAGUGUUGCAGCAUGUGCCUGAC